rnacentral:snRNA from 1 species
CUACGACAUCUGCCACCCCAUUGAUCCCCAAGGUUGAUUCGGCUAAUCUGGCUGGUUUUCCUCUGUCC